rnacentral:rRNA from 1 species
CCUACGGGAGACAGCAGUAGGGAAUAUUGCUCAAUGGGGGAAACCCUGAAGCAGCAACGCCGCGUGGAGGAUGAAGGUUUUCGGAUUGUAAACUCCUUUUGUUAGAGAAGAUAAUGACGGUAUCUAACGAAUAAGCAACGGCUAACUCCGUGCCAGCAGCCGCGGGAAUACGGAGGGUGCAAGCGUUACUCGGAAUCACUGGGCGUAAAGAGCGCGUAGGCGGGAUAGCAAGUCAGAUGUGAAAUCCUAUGGCUUAACCAUAGAACUGCAUUUGAAACUGUUAUUCUAGAGUAUGGGAGAGGUAGGUGGAAUUCUUGGUGUAGGGGUAAAAUCCGUAGAGAUCAAGAGGAAUACUCAUUGCGAAGGCGACCUGCUAGAACAUAACUGACGCUGAUGCGCGAAAGCGUGGGGAGCAAACAGGAUUAGAUACCCUAGUAGUC